GAUGAACGCUGGCGGCGUGCUUAACACAUGCAAGUCGAACGAAGCAUUUAGGACAGAUUACUUCGGUUUGAAGUUCUUUAUGACUGAGUGGCGGACGGGUGAGUAACGCGUGGGUAACCUGCCUUGUACUGGGGGAUAGCAGCUGGAAACGGCUGGUAAUACCGCAUAAGCGCACAAUGUUGCAUGACAUGGUGUGAAAAACUCCGGUGGUAUAAGAUGGACCCGCGUCUGAUUAGCUAGUUGGUGAGAUAACAGCCCACCAAGGCGACGAUCAGUAGCCGACCUGAGAGGGUGACCGGCCACAUUGGGACUGAGACACGGCCCAGACUCCUACGGGAGGCGGCAGUGGGGAAUAUUGCACAAUGGAGGAAACUCUGAUGCAGCGACGCCGCGUGAGUGAAGAAGUAAUUCGUUAUGUAAAGCUCUAUCAGCAGGGAAGAUAGUGACGGUACCUGACGAAGAAGCUCCGGCUAAAUACGUG
rnacentral:rRNA from 1 species